rnacentral:rRNA from 1 species
GGUAGCAUAAUCAUUAGUCUUUUAAUUGGAGGCUCGUAUGAAUGGUUGGACGAAAAAUAAUCUGUCUCUUAGUUGAAAUUUGAAUUUAACAUUUAAGUGAAAAGGCUUAAAUACAGUAAAAAGACGAUAAGACCCUAUAAAUCUUCACACUACUUAAAAAUUUAGAGCUAAUUAUAAGUAAAAUGUUAUUAAAUGUUUAUAGUGUUUUGUUGGGGCAACAUGGAUAAANAUUUAUCUGUCUAAAAAAAUUACAGAAAAUUUNUGAGUAAAGAAACNCAAGAUCCUUUCUAGAGAUUNCAAGAUUAAGUUACUUUAGGGAUAACAGCGUUAUUUUACUUGAGAGUUCAUAUCGAAAGUAAAGUUUGCGACCUCGAUGUNGAAUUAAAAUUUCUCUAUGGUGCAGCAGCUAU